rnacentral:misc_RNA from 1 species
AAAGUCGUAACAAGGUCUCCGUAGGUGAACCUGCGGAGGGAUCAUUACAGAGAACAUCGCCCUCACGGGUGACUCUCCAACCCAAUGUUAUUAUACUUUGUUGCUUUGGCGAGCCGUCUCGGCCACCGGCUCACGCUGGUGAGUGCUCGCCAGAGGACCCCAAACUCUAAAUUUUAAAGUAUUGUCUGAGUACUAUAUAAUAGUUAAAACUUUCAACAACGGAUCUCUUGGUUCUG